AUACGAAGGGUGCUAGCGUUGUUCGGAAUUACUGGGCGUAAAGAGCAUGUAGGCGGAUUGAUUAGUCAGAGGUGAAAGCCCCGAGCUCAACUUGGGAAUUGGCUUUGAUACUGUCAAUCUAGAGACCGAGAGAGGUGAGUGGAAUUCCCAGUGUAGAGGUGAAAUUCGUAGAUACUGGGAAGAACACCAGUGGCGAAGGCGGCUCACUGGCUCGGUACUGACGCUGAGAUGCGAAAGCGUGGGGAGCAAACAGGAUUAGAAACCCUAGUAGUCC
rnacentral:rRNA from 1 species